ACGUACCGUACGAACGUUAUUCGGAAUCACUGGGCUUAAAGAGUCCGUAGGCGGCUUUAAAGGUGAGGUGUGAAAUCCCACGGCCUAACCGUGGAACUGCGCUUCAAACCGUAAGGCUAGAGGGAGAUAGAGGAAAGCGGAACUGAUGGUGGAGCGGUGAAAUGCGUUGAUAUCAUCAGGAACACCGGUGGCGAAAGCGGCUUUCUGGGUCUCUUCUGACGCUGAGGGACGAAAGCUAGGGGAGCGAACGGG
rnacentral:rRNA from 1 species